UAAAGAUCGGACCCAGUGCCUCAUAUGUGCCAGGCAAGCACUUUGCCUCUGAGCCACAGUCCCAACCCAAGGGGAGACAUUUUUUAAACAAAAGUAUUUCCUGGAAAAGAUGGUUGAUUUGUUUUUCUUAGAGCUACUUCCUUCUCACCUCCCCACCAUUUCUCCAAUCUAUUCCUCCAUCUCUAACAUCCCUUCUUUUGGUACUAUAAAUUCUACAGAAAGCCCUCAGCAAUGCUUCUCCUCUCCUAGGGUUCCCUUUGAUAUGAUAAGGAGUUAAUGCCUUUAUGUCCAGGUAGAGUGAACCUGUGAAAUUCCUAUCCUUUUGCCCUAAUAUUCCACUCCCAUAAAAGCUUUCUGUGCCCUUGAUCCCCCAGAAGAUGGAUAUUAGACAGGCCUCAUCUCUUCCUCAGAAGCUGGCUUUGAAUAAACCUGGUUUUCUACACACUGAAUUUUUUUUUUUUUUUUUUGUACCGGGGAUUGAACUCAGGCGUAUUCCACCACUGAGCCACAUCCCAGUCCUUUUUUGUAUUUAUUUAGAGACCAGAUCUCAAUGAGUUGCUUAGGGCCUCACUAAAUUGCUGAGGCUACCUUUGAACUCAUGAUCCUCCUGCCUCGGCCUCCAGAGCUGCUGGGAUUACAGGCGUACACCACUGCACCCAGCCCUUCUAAACACUGAAUAUUU
rnacentral:lncRNA from 1 species